UACGUGAGGGUGCAAGCGUUGUCCGGAAUUAUUGGGCGUAAAGAGCUCGUAGGCGGUCUGUCACGUCGGACGUGAAAACCCAGGGCUCAACCCUGGGCCUGCAUUCGAUACGGGCAGACUAGAGUUCGGUAGGGGAGACUGGAAUUCCUGGUGUAGCGGUGAAAUGCGCAGAUAUCAGGAGGAACACCGGUGGCGAAGGCGGGUCUCUGGGCCGAAACUGACGCUGAGGAGCGAAAGCGUGGGGAGCAAACAGGAUAGAUA
rnacentral:rRNA from 1 species